GGGGAAUCUUAGACAAUGGGCGCAAGCCUGAUCUAGCAAUGCCGCGUGAGUGAUGAAGGCCUUAGGGUUGUAAAGCUCUUUUACCAGGGAUGAUAAUGACAGUACCUGGAGAAUAAGCUCCGGCUAACUCCGUGCCAGCAGCCGCGGUAAUACGGAGGGAGCUAGCGUUGUUCGGAAUUACUGGGCGUAAAGCGCGCGUAGGCGGUUACUCAAGUCAGAGGUGAAAGCCCGGAGCUCAACUCCGGAACUGCCUUUGAAACUAGGUGACUAGAAUCUUGGAGAGGCGAGUGGAAUUCCGAGUGUAGAGGUGAAAUUCGUAGAUAUUCGGAAGAACACCAGUGGCGAAGGCGACUCGCUGGACAAGUAUUGACGCUGAGGUGCGAAAGCGUGGGGAGCAAA
rnacentral:rRNA from 1 species